rnacentral:rRNA from 1 species
UACGGAGGGUGCAAGCGUUGUCCGGAUUUAUUGGGUUUAAAGGGUGCGUAGGCGGCCCUGUAAGUCAGUGGUGAAAUUACUGCAGCUUAACUGUAGCAUUGCCAUUGAUACUGUAGGGCUUGAGUACAGAUGAGGUAGGCGGAAUUGAUGGUGUAGCGGUGAAAUGCAUAGAUACCAUCAAGAACACCGAUUGCGAAGGCAGCUUACUAAGCUGUAACUGACGCUGAGGCACGAAAGCGUGGGGAUCAACAGG